GGCCGCGUAGUGUAGUGGUUAGCACGCAGGAUUUUGAUAUUAUCAAAAGACUUCCUGAGACCUGAGUUCAAUCCUCGGCGGGGCCU
rnacentral:tRNA from 1 species